UACGUAGGGGGCAAGCGUUGUCCGGAAUCAUUGGGCGUAAAGAGCGUGUAGGCGGCCAGAAAAGUCCGCUGUGAAAACUCGAGGCUCAACUUCGAGCUGUCGGUGGAAACUUUCUGGCUAGAGUCCGGAAGAGGAGAAUGGAAUUCCCGGUGGUAGCGGUGAAAUGCGCAGAUAUCGGGAAGAACACCCGUGGCGAAGGCGGUUCUCUGGGCCUUACCUGACGCUGAGGAGCGAAGCGUGGGGAGCGAACAGG
rnacentral:rRNA from 1 species